rnacentral:lncRNA from 1 species
AUUGAUAGUUAACUAGUGUGCUUGUUCUUUGUACAGGAAAGAAGAGAGCUUCAGAUACCAAACAAUGAUCCAUGAAUGGGAAUGAGGAAUUUAUAGAGGUAAUAUUACCGAAGGAGAGACUGAGGGGUAUAUCAGAAGACAGAUGUUACAGAAGAAGUGUUUUAUAUCAAAUCUCUAAAAAGUAUGGUGUUUUUGUCUGUUUACCAGAACAAAAUCAAAGCAUUGUAGCAAGACAGCUGAAGUUAACAUAUGAAGACAUGAACAAAAAUACAACUUUCAUGCUGAAGGAUUCCAAAAUUCUUAGAACCCAGUCCUACAGUGUAUAUGGAAACUCCUUGAAUUACUCUUGAAGCCAUUAGGAUAUGAGCAUGCUGUGCUCUUUGCAGGGUCAGGCCUUUAAUAAAUCAUCAUUCAUGUUACA